UACGUAGGGUGCAAGCGUUGUCCGGAAUUAUUGGGCGUAAAGAGCUCGUAGGCGGUCUGUUGCGUCGGCUGUGAAAACCCGGGGCUCAACCCCGGGCCUGCAGCCGAUACGGGCAGACUAGAGUUCGGCAGGGGAGACUGGAAUUCCCGGUGUAGCGGUGAAAUGCGCAGAUAUCGGGAGGAACACCAGUGGCGAAGGCGGCACUCUGGGCCGGAACUGACGCUGAGGAGCGAAAGCGUGGGGAGCGAACAGG
rnacentral:rRNA from 1 species